rnacentral:rRNA from 1 species
GAACGAGAAGGUGACUUCGGUCACUGGAUAGUGGCGUCCGGGUGAGUAACACGUAGGUAAUCUACCUUCGGGUGGGGAAUAACGUCUCGAAAGAGACGCUAAUACCGCAUAAUGCAGCGGCACCUAAUGGUGAAUAGUUGUUAAAGCGGGGGAUCUUCGGACCUCGCGCCUGAAGAGGAGCCUGCGGCAGAUUAGCUUGUUGGUGAGGUAAUGGCUCACCAAGGCUUCGAUCUGUAGCUGGUCUGAGAGGACGGCCAGCCACACUGGCACUGACACACGGGCCAGACUCCUACGGGAGGCAGCAGUGGGGAAUUUUGGGCAAUGGGCGAAAGCCUGACCCAGCAACGCCGCGUGAAGGAGGAAAUCCUUCGGGAUGUAAACUUCAUAAGUAAGGGAAGAAAGCUGCGGGUUGAAUAAGUCCGCAGUCCGACGGUACCUUACGUAAGCCACGGCUAACUACGUGCCAGCAGCCGCGGUAAUACGUAGGUGGCAAGCGUUGUUCGGAAUUAUUGGGCGUAAAGGGCGCGUAGGCGGUUUGCUAAGUCAGUUGUGAAAGCCCGGGGCUCAACCCCGGAGGGUCGGCUGAUACUGGUGGACUAGAGUACGGAAGAGGUAGCUGGAAUUCCCGGUGUAGCGGUGAAAUGCGUAGAUGUCGGGAGGAACACCUGAGGCGAAGGCGGGCUACUGGGCCGAUACUGACGCUGAGGCGCGAAAGCCAGGGGAGCAAACGGGAUUAGAUACCCCGGUAGUCCUGGCCCUAAACGAUGGACACUUGGUGUGUCGGGUAUUUCAGUCCCGGCGUGCCGG